rnacentral:lncRNA from 1 species
CUUACCUGACCCAUCCAGCAGGUCCAGUUAUUCAAGGGUCUCAAGGGGACCUUCUUCUAAGAACCAAAUUGGGGGAUGGUGGGGUGAAGUACGGACACCAAGUGCGAGGAACGACAGAUACUUAUCAACUGGCUGACUCAUUGGCAGAUGCUUGCAUUUCCUAAAAUGGAGUUGAAUGUGAAUUAUAACUUCCACUGCAAAUAGGUGUGGCAGCUGGCCUGUAAUCCCUAGGCACU